AGAGUUUGAUCCUGACUCAGAACGAACGCUGGCGGCGUGCCUAACACAUGCAAGUCCAACGUGAAAGGGGAGCAAUCCCCCGGUAGGGUGGCAAACGGGUGAGUAAUACAUGGGUGAUCUACCUUAGGGAUGGGGAUAUCCUUCCGAAAGGAGGGGCAAUACCGAAUAUUGUCCGGAGCCGUGAAGGGUUCCGGGGAAAGGGAGGCCUCUGAUACAAGCUUUCGCCUUAAGAUGAGCCCAUGGCCCAUCAGCUAGUUGGUAGGGUAAAGGCCUACCAAGGCUACGACGGGUCGCUGGUCUGAGAGGACGACCAGCCACACUGGCACUGAGAUACGGGCCAGACUCCUACGGGAGGCAGCAGUGAGGAAUAUUGCGCAAUGGGGGAAACCCUGACGCAGCAACGCCGUGUGUGGGAAGAAGGCCUUCGGGUCGUAAACCACUUUUGCACGGGACGAAAAAGGGAUAUCGAACAAAUAUCCCCGAUGACGGUACCGUGAGAAUAAGCCACGGCUAACUCUGUGCCAGCAGCCGCGGUAAGACAGAGGUGGCAAGCGUUGUUCGGAAUUACUGGGCGUAAAGAGUCUGUAGGUGGUUUGUCAAGUCUUUGGUGAAAGGCCGUAGCUUAACUAUGGGAAUGCCAAAGAGACUGGCAGGCUGGAGGCUGGGAGAGGGAAGCGGAAUUUCUGGUGUAGCGGUGAAAUGC
rnacentral:rRNA from 1 species